rnacentral:lncRNA from 1 species
CCAAGUACCACAAACAAAAAGCUUGGUAAUUAGUGUUUGAUUACAGCCCAGCAGCAACACACUUGGAAUUGGGGUAUUAGACCCAAGAGGUAGGAAGGUAUCAGAACACAAAGCCAGAGGUCAAGAAAACUUGGGUCUGGUCUUGACUGUGCCCCUAACUUGCUGCAAAGCUUUGGGCGGGGAUCCCUUCCUUACUCUUCCUCAUCUGUAUGUUGGGAGUGAUGUUGUCUCCUUACCGUAUGGGGUUCCAGUAAGGAAAAAGGAACACAGUUGGAAGGAAGACAAAAUUGUGUUAUUUUUCCUUUCUGCCCCCUCCACCUUCCCCUAUGUUGCAGAGAUUCUCUUACCAUCCAUGAUAUCCUCAGGACCUUCCUUCUCUGACCUUCUCACUUUCAGGUUCUUUAACGAAACUUCCUCAAAAGCCAAAACUCAAGAGAAAGAGGAUUAAGGAAGCUCAAGAAACUCCAGAGACCUGCCAAUAAGAAGACCCGCUGGGACAGAAGGCCUGCUCACCUGGCUCACAGAGCACUAAUGGGACUUGGACCUGUCAGCACCUGGGGGGAGGGGACCAAUGAGGGAAAGAACAAAAUCAUUCUUAUUGAAGGGAUGCUCAGGUCUUGAUUAUGAAUAAAUGGGGUGGAAGAUAAACAUUACUAAGACAAUUCUGU